rnacentral:rRNA from 1 species
CCUCUCGGGGGUAAGCGGGCAGAACUUGCAAGUAUUGUCAAGAGAUUCAGACUUGGUAUUGGAGGGGGAGUAUGCGGAUUAAAUGGGCUCAUUCGUGGUCUGUUGAUCUGUGUGCUUCAUUCUUCUGAUCAAUGCGUCGCACUUCUCUUGUCAUCCGGGUUGCAUGCAACUGAGAUGAUGGUUUAGGAGCUGGGGUACUGCGGGUCCUUGUGGUUCGAGUCCUAGUUUCCGACUAUUCUUGCGGUUGUUGAAAGCGAACAAGAGCUUGUCUCGGUCAACUUCUUCCACGAGUCGUGUGCAUGGAUUAUAUGGACGGGUAACCGUAAUAUGACCUGUGUACUGGUUGUCAGUGAAAGUUGUUUGGCAUUGUUCAGUAUUGCAAUCUAAAGCAUGCGUGGUCUGCCUGU